rnacentral:lncRNA from 1 species
AAAUUUGCAUAUCAACAGAAGGAAGCAGUUAAAUUCUCUUUCCAAAUAGAGAUACAGGAAAACAGCACCCAUGGCCAAGUGCAUAACCCCCAGAGCACAACCUUUUUGGAUAAAGCCAGGAGUCUCCUCUGUGAUCUUUUUUUAGCAGACUUCCUUCCUUCCAUUAAUCGCAUUGAGAGUAGAGAGCAGCGCGGUGAUGCCCUGCAAUCAUUGCUGGUGUAAUGGUAAGCACACUGCUGGGUGAAUGAAUUGCUUAGCUUUUCCUGUGUUCACCUUGAGU